GGGCCCUUAGUUCAGCUGGGAGAACGCUUCCAUGGCAUGGAAGAGGUCGUCGGUUCGAGCCCGAUAGGGUCCACCA
rnacentral:tRNA from 1 species